rnacentral:rRNA from 1 species
GGACUUGACGGUACCCCAUAUCCCCCUAGAGGAGCCUGUCCUAUAAUCGAUAAUCCACGUCUAACCUCACCAUUUUUAGUUAAUCAGCCUGUAUACCUCCGUCGUCAGCUUACCACGUGAGCGCCAAUUAGUGAGCUUAAUGUUUUUCACCAAUACGUCAGGUCAAGGUGCAGCAUAUGAAAUGGGAAGAGAUGGGCUACACUCUCUAUUUUAGAAAAAACGAAAAACUACCUAUGAAAUCUAGUUAGAAGGCGGAUUUAGCAGUAAAAAGGAAUCAGCACGUCCAUUUUAAUCCGGCACUGGGGUGUGUACACACCGCCCGUCACCCUCUUCAAAGCUUCAAACACAGUUUUUAACAAAUUUAAGCACAACAGAAGAGGCAAGUCGUAACAUGGUAAGUAUACCGGAAGGUGUGCUUGGAA